AAUGAAGGAAGUUAUUGGAAAAUAGCUCCUUCCCUGAGACUUUAACUUGUGAUUAAAUAAUCAUUCACAGGUCUCUUUCUCAGGAAGAGAGUGAUUUUCGUUAUGUCGAGCGUUCUAG
rnacentral:precursor_RNA from 10 species